AAUAGGUAUGCUUAGGGAGGAGCUUGCGUCACAUUAGUUAGUUGGUGGGGUAAAGGCCUACCAAGACUAUGAUGUGUAGCCGGGCUGAGAGGUUGAACGGCCACAUUGGGACUGAGACACGGCCCAAACUCCUACGGGAGGCAGCAGUAGGGAAUUUUCGGCAAUGGAGGAAACUCUGACCGAGCAACGCCGCGUGAACGAUGAAGUAUUUCGGUACGUAAAGUUCUUUUAUUAGGGAAGAAUAAAUGAUGGAAAAAUCAUUCUGACGGUACCUAAUGAAUAAGCCCCGGCUAACUAUGUGCCAGCAGCCGCGGUAAUACAUAGGGGGCAAGCGUUAUCCGGAAUUAUUGGGCGUAAAGGGUGCGUAGGCUGUUAAAUAAGUUUAUGGUCUAAGUGCAAUGCUCAACAUUGUGAUGCUAUAAAAACUGUUUAGCUAGAGUAAGAUAGAGGCAAGUGGAAUUCCAUGUGUAGUGGUAAAAUGCGUAAAUAUAUGGAGGAACACCAGUAGCGAAGGCGGCUUGCUGGGUCUUUACUGACGCUGAGGCACGAAAGCGUGGGGAGCAAACAGGAUUAGAUACCCUGGUAGUCCACGCCGUAAACGAUGAGUACUAAACGUUGGGUAAAACCAGUGUUGAAGUUAACACAUUAAGUACUCCGCCUGAGUAGUACGUACGCAAGUAUGAAACUUAAAGGAAUUGACGGGACUCCGCACAAGCGGUGGAUCAUGUUGUUUAAUUCGAAGGUACCCGAAAAACCUCACCAGGUCUUGACAUGCUUCUGCAAAGCUGUAGAAACACAGUGGAGGUUAUCAGUUGCACAGGUGGUGCAUGGUUGUCGUCAGCUCGUGUCGUGAGAUGUUGGGUUAAGUCCCGCAACGAGCGCAACCCUUAUUGUUAGUUGCCAGCACGUAAUGGUGGGGACUUUAGCAAGACUGCCAGUGAUAAAUUGGAGGAAGGUGGGGACGACGUCAAAUCAUCAUGCCCCUUAUGACCUGGGCUACAAACGUGAUACAAUGGCUGUUACAAAGGGUAGCUGAAACGCAAGUUUUUGGCGAAUCUCAAAAAAACAGUCUCAGUUCGGAUUGAAGUCUGCAACUCGACUUCAUGAAGUUGGAAUCGCUAGUAAUCGCG
rnacentral:rRNA from 2 species